rnacentral:lncRNA from 1 species
GUCGAAGUUGUAAUCGCUGCGGGCCGCCAACGCCUGCUGCCCCUCGUCCAGCACCUUGUAGAACGAAUCCAUGGACAGCAGCACGACCCAGGGCACGUCCAGCGCCUCGAUGAUCCGCGUGGCCACCGUCGUCUUCCCCGACGCGCUGCCGCCGCACAGCCCGAUGACGAAGGCCUCUCCCACGGGCGCCCCGGUCUCGCUGUACCAGGGCGGCCGCCCGGCGGUGUAGAUGGUCCUUUUGCUGGUGCGCAGCAGCGGGGGCUCGGGCGGGCCCUGGCCUUGGCUGGCGGUGCGGCGGCGCGGCGGGGCCAGCGGGAGGCGGCUGAGCAGCGAGCCCAGGGAGCCGGGACCGGGGCCGGGACCGCGCUCGGGCCCCGCCGCGCCCCACUGCCCGCACCGCUCCCCCGCCUCCAACGCCGCCAUCACCGCGCGGCGGCCGCG